UACUUUUGCACCCACUUGAUAAACAUCAAGAUACAUAAUAAUCAUUUAAAACAAUAUUGGCAUG
ncrna:unclassified sequences S15-Flavobacteria ribosomal protein leader